rnacentral:rRNA from 1 species
CAUGUGGUUUAAUUCGAUGCAACGCGAAGAACCUUACCUGGUCUUGACAUCCACGGAAGUUUUCAGAGAUGAGAUAUGUGCCUUCGGGAACCGUGAGACAGGUGCUGCAUGGCUGUCGUCAGCUCGUGUUGUGAAAUGUUGGGUUAAGUCCCGCAACGAGCGCAACCCUUAUCCUUUGUUGCCAGCGGUCCGGCCGGGAACUCAAAGGAGACUGCCAGUGAUAAACUGGAGGAAGGUGGGGAUGACGUCAAGUCAUCAUGGCCCUUACGACCAGGGCUACACACGUGCUACAAUGGCGCAUACAAAGAGAAGCGACCUCGCGAGAGCAAGCGGACCUCAUAAAGUGCGUCGUAGUCCGGAUUGGAGUCUGCAACUCGACUCCAUGAAGUCGGAAUCGCUAGUAAUCGUGGAUCAGAAUGCCACGGUGAAUACGUUCCCGGGCCUUGUACACACCGCCCGUA